rnacentral:rRNA from 1 species
GAUGAACGCUGGCGGCGUGCCUAAUACAUGCCAGUCGAGCGAACAGACGAGGAGCUUGCUCCUCUGACGUUAGCGGCGGACGGGUGAGUAACACGUGGAUAACCUACCUAUAAGACUGGGAUAACUUCGGGAAACCGGAGCUAAUACCGGAUAAUAUAUUGAACCGCAUGGUUCAAUAGUGAAAGACGGUUUUGCUGUCACUUAUAGAUGGAUCCGCGCCGCAUUAGCUAGUUGGUAAGGUAACGGCUUACCAAGGCAACGAUGCGUAGCCGACCUGAGAGGGUGAUCGGCCACACUGGAACUGAGACACGGUCCAGACUCCUACGGGAGGCAGCAGUAGGGAAUCUUCCGCAAUGGGCGAAAGCCUGACGGAGCAACGCCGCGUGAGUGAUGAAGAUCUUCGGAUCGUAAAACUCUGUUAUUAGGGAAGAACAAAUGUGUAAGUAACUAUGCACGUCUUGACGGUACCUAAUCAGAAAGCCACGGCUAACUACGUG